UAGGGAAUCUUCGGCAAUGGACGGAAGUCUGACCGAGCAACGCCGCGUGAGUGAAGAAGGUUUUCGGAUCGUAAAGCUCUGUUGUAAGAGAAGAACGAGUGUGAGAGUGGAAAGUUCACACUGUGACGGUAUCUUACCAGAAAGGGACGGCUAACUACGUGCCAGCAGCCGCGGUAAUACGUAGGUCCCGAGCGUUGUCCGGAUUUAUUGGGCGUAAAGCGAGCGCAGGCGGUUAGAUAAGUCUGAAGUUAAAGGCUGUGGCUUAACCAUAGUAGGCUUUGGAAACUGUUUAACUUGAGUGCAAGAGGGGAGAGUGGAAUUCCAUGUGUAGCGGUGAAAUGCGUAGAUAUAUGGAGGAACACCGGUGGCGAAAGCGGCUCUCUGGCUUGUAACUGACGCUGAGGCUCGAAAGUGUGGGGAGCAAACAGGAUUAGAUACCCUGGUAGUCCACGCUGUAAACGAUGAGUGCUAGGUGUUAGACCCUUUCCGGGGUUUAGUGCCGUAGCUAACGCAUUAAGCACUCCGCCUGGGGAGUACGACCGCAAGGUUG
rnacentral:rRNA from 1 species